CAGAAAAAGGACACAACAAGUGCACAAUCGCACAUAAAGAGAGUUUGACAAAGAUUAAAUGAGAAGCACAAGUUUCUUCUCAUCCUCUUUCUCUGCAUAAUAUGCCAUUCUUGCCAUUGAUGCUGGCAAGAAGAAAAUGAUUAUUUUCCAUUAACACCUGCAAGAAAGCAAGAUUCAGAUGUGCUGCAUCAUCAAAGUCAAGAGUCGAGAAAUGAACAAGGUCAUAGAAAACAUCAUCUAAUACAAAUAAAAAUUUCGCAGUUACUUUAAUUGGCUGAGAGACAUUUCGAAACAAAAUAUAUUUUUCAUGCACUUUAGUGAUACUUUGUGAAGGCUUAUUACAACCACUAGUAACUAGUUAAAAUAGUCUAGUUAACAGUAGUGCUACUAGCAUUAGGUCUACUAACAAGUAAGAGCAGUGCAUUUAACAGAAAUACGGAAUAGAACAAUAUGAUUAUGCAUCUGCACACUUCACUAGCAGUACGUUAUACCUUCAGACUCCUACUACUGCAUUGUUGACUUCUGUGCAAAUGGAGAACAUGUUGGGCGUACCUAUAUCAUGAUGGCUGAGAUCUGAAUUGGCUUCAAGAAUGCACUGUUAUGGUAUGCAGGGUAUUCUUGUGAAGAUCCUACACGCCAUUAGAUUUCAAAAGUAAAUGACAACAGUUAUGGUGAAUACAAGAAUACUACCUCGUAAUGAUAGAACAUACAGUGAACAUAGAAACUUCAAACCUUAUCAGUAGAAUACACUGACAACUCUUUGUUUCCCAUAAUUAUACCCUGAUGAUCUUUUGAUCCUUAAACCUGAACUUUCCGGGAACAUAUCAAGUAUUCCCGAGUUUGGACAAAAUUUAAACACAAGUGGCCAAAAGAAUACCAUAACAGACAAGGGACUCCUGCACAACAAGCCAACAAAAAUGAUGAAUGCGAUAGUAUGUGGUACAGAUAGUAGUCUAGCAGUGAAUGAAUUAGUUGAGUGACCCCACAGUCCCAUGUUAUCAUUUAAUCCAUACGUCUGCCAUAGUGAUAUGUUGAUCGUGGCACCCUAACUAGCCACCAUGUCCCCAUGAAUGAAAAAAUUCCAAAUUUAAUUUCAAUACAAGCAUCAGCCAAAUUUCGAUCCUCGCAAAAAUGAUGGAACACGUGCACAGAGAACAAAAAUAAUUGAUCAUUUGGUAGAACUAUUUUCACUAGUGAUGUCACUACUGGAAAAUAUAUUUUUCAUGUACUUUAGUGAUACUUUGUGAAGGCUUGUUACAAGCAGAAGUAAAAUUAAGUAGAGGAGCAAAAUACAUGUGAACUAUCCAAUCCUAGCUCUUUUUACUAACAAAAUAACUGUGAGAAAUGAUUUUAAAAUAUAUAGUGCAAAAAUUCCUGGAAAUAUAACACAUGCCAAAUAUGUAGUAGCAGCAGUAAGAAUUAUAUUACAAGUUCCUUCUAAAAACAAUUUGUUAAAGUGGCAACAGCAAGGAUUAUAUUAGAAGUUUCUUCUAAAAACAAUUUGGUAGUAGCAACAGCAAGGAUUACAUUAGAUAAGCAUUUGACAAUUCAGUUAGUAGUGCCCAGUUAUAGGGGGCAGUAAGAAAAUGUACCAUUAGCCAAAGUUCUAAUGGCUACAUAAACAUGCACCAUUAAUGUCAUAUUUCCACAGGAAAUAACAUCAAGAAGUUUUUGUUAUGGGACUCAACAUGAACUAAAGUAAACAAAAAUUGAAUAUUCUAAUCUUUGACGCCAUUACCAUCAGAUCUAAGCACCCCACAAAUAUUUGUAUAAACAAACUAAAUGGAACAUAGAUAUUAUGGUAUUUUUUCCCUCGCAUCUGUUCAGAAUUUCAAACAGGGUUACCAAAUAACCGCCAUAUAAAUUCAACGUGGGGGUGACCCUCAAGGCGCAGCACUUGGGGCAAACAAACACUAUUACUUGCCUAGUAAUACAAGAAUUAGUCUUCAGGUUCAGUAGAAUUUAUUACAAGCAUUUUAAACCUUCACAUAAGAAAUCGAAUUUAUUACUUGAUACACAUAGUAAACCUUCAUGGUUAACGGAGGUUACUAAUUAGUGAAAAAGAGUGCAGUUUUAAGCCUCGUAGCGGAAGGACAGAAGUUGAGAAUUUCACUCAAACUCCUAUAGAAAACAAAACCUGGGAGUAAACCAAAGCGUUUCACAACCAACCAGAAAAGGAUGCUAAUCCUCCACUAUAGACCCACAACACAUAUAAAAAAUUGUGAAGAAGGAUGCUAACUUGAUGUACAAGGCAUCACAAAAAAGUACAUCUCUUGCCAGUUUCAUGACCCACACAUAACCAGCGUAUAUCUUGUGAGUUUGACCCACAAGGAAAAAAUAGAGUGAUGUAUUUCAAUUUAGGAAAAAACAUAUAUCUCUUCGACGUUCUCUUCAAUAUUCUCUAUGGCAUUUCAACUUUAUAUUCAGCAAGUUUGCAUCAGGCAGGCUUACUGAUAGCAUGGUAAUUACCAACUACGCAGACAAACGAAAAAGCAGACAAAAAGAACAGCAUCAUCAUGCAAGGAUGGACUGUAGCAGCCUAACCAGACAAACACAUGGUACAAUGGCCAUGAACGCUGAGCAACCACCAUAGUCGUGGUUCCGUGAAAACGACAAGCUCAGACCAACCACCAGACGCAGGGAGAAGAUGAAGGGAAGGAGCUCACCAUGGUUGUUUUUGUAGUCGACGUCGAACAGCACCGCCGCCGUCGUUGCAUGGAAGCAGCAGAAAAGAGGAGCCUCGCACGAUGAACCCCUUGUACCGAAUCAAAUCCUGCGGCACAAGAAGGAAAAGAGAAAUAACAAGAUAAUCUUGAGGUCAAAUCAACAAUCAGAACAAUAAAUGCGAUGAAAAAUAACAUGUGCUCUCAUAUUGUUGUUUGUUGUUUCUGAACUCUCACACUGCUCUGUCAUUUGUUGUUUCUGAACUCUCAUAUUUUACUAAUCAAACUACUAGUUCAAUU
rnacentral:lncRNA from 1 species